UGGGGAAUAUUGGACAAUGGGCGAAAGCCUGAUCCAGCCAUGCCGCGUGUGUGAAGAAGGCCUUUUGGUUGUAAAGCACUUUAAGUGGGGAGGAAAAGCUUAUGGUUAAUACCCAUAAGCCCUGACGUUACCCACAGAAUAAGCACCGGCUAACUCUGUGCCAGCAGCCGCGGUAAUACAGAGGGUGCAAGCGUUAAUCGGAAUUACUGGGCGUAAAGCGCGCGUAGGUGGUUAUUUAAGUCAGAUGUGAAAGCCCCGGGCUUAACCUGGGAACUGCAUCUGAUACUGGAUAACUAGAGUAGGUGGGAGGGGAGUAGAAUUCCAGGUGUAGCGGUGAAAUGCGUAGAGAUCUGGAGGAAUACCGAUGGCGAAGGCAGCUCCCUGGCAUCAUACUGACACUGAGGUGCGAAAGCGUGGGUAGCAAACAGGAUUAGAUACCCUGGUAGUCCACGCCGUAAACGAUGUCUACCAGUCGUUGGGUCUUUUAAAGACUUAGUGACGCAGUUAACGCAAUAAGUAGACCGCCUGGGGAGUACGGCCGCAAGGUUA
rnacentral:rRNA from 1 species